GGCUCAGCUGGUAGAGAAUCUGCCUGCAAUGCAGAAGACCUGGGUUCGAUCCCUG
rnacentral:tRNA from 1 species